GGUCGCAUAGUGUAGUGGUUAUCACGCCUGCUUCACACGCAGGAGGUCCUCAGUUCAAUCCUGAGUGCGACCA